CAUGCAAGUCGAGCGGUAGCACAGAGAGCUUGCUCUCGGGUGACGAGCGGCGGACGGGUGAGUAAUGUCUGGGAAACUGCCUGAUGGAGGGGGAUAACUACUGGAAACGGUAGCUAAUACCGCAUAACGUCGCAAGACCAAAGUGGGGGACCUUCGGGCCUCAUGCCAUCAGAUGUGCCCAGAUGGGAUUAGCUGGUAGGUGGGGUAACGGCUCACCUAGGCGACGAUCCCUAGCUGGUCUGAGAGGAUGACCAGCCACACUGGAACUGAGACACGGUCCAGACUCCUACGGGAGGCAGCAGUGGGGAAUAUUGCACAAUGGGCGCAAGCCUGAUGCAGCCAUGCCGCGUGUGUGAAGAAGGCCUUCGGGUUGUAAAGCACUUUCAGCGGGGAGGAAGGCGGUGAGGUUAAUAACCUUGUCGAUUGACGUUACCCGCAGAAGAAGCACCGGCUAACUCCGUGCCAGCAGCCGCGGUAAUACGGAGGGUGCAAGCGUUAAUCGGAAUUACUGGGCGUAAAGCGCACGCAGGCGGUCUGUCAAGUCGGAUGUGAAAUCCCCGGGCUCAACCUGGGAACUGCAUUCGAAACUGGCAGGCUAGAGUCUUGUAGAGGGGGGUAGAAUUCCAGGUGUAGCGGUGAAAUGCGUAGAGAUCUGGAGGAAUACCGGUGGCGAAGGCGGCCCCCUGGACAAAGACUGACGCUCAGGUGCGAAAGCGUGGGGAGCAAACAGGAUUAGAUACCCUGGUAGUCCACGCUGUAAACGAUGUCGAUUUGGAGGUUGUGCCCUUGAGGCGUGGCUUCCGGAGCUAACGCGUUAAAUCGACCGCCUGGGGAGUACGGCCGCAAGGUUAAAACUCAAAUGAAUUGACGGGGGCCCGCACAAGCGGUGGAGCAUGUGGUUUAAUUCGAUGCAACGCGAAGAACCUUACCUGGUCUUGACAUCCACAGAACUUUCCAGAGAUGGAUUGGUGCCUUCGGGAACUGUGAGACAGGUGCUGCAUGGCUGUCGUCAGCUCGUGUUGUGAAAUGUUGGGUUAAGUCCCGCAACGAGCGCAACCCUUAUCCUUUGUUGCCAGCGGUCCGGCCGGGAACUCAAAGGAGACUGCCAGUGAUAAACUGGAGGAAGGUGGGGAUGACGUCAAGUCAUCAUGGCCCUUACGACCAGGGCUACACACGUGCUACAAUGGCAUAUACAAAGAGAAGCGACCUCGCGAGAGCAAGCGGACCUCAUAAAGUAUGUCGUAGUCCGGAUUGGAGUCUGCAACUCGACUCCAUGAAGUCGGAAUCGCUAGUAAUCGUAGAUCAGAAUGCUACGGUGAAUACGUUCCCGGGCCUUGUACACACCGCCCGUCACACCAUGGGAGUGGGUUGCAAAAGAAGUAGGUAGCUUAACCUUCGGGAGGGCGCUUACCACUUUGUGAUUCAUGACUGGGGUGAAGUCGUAACAAG
rnacentral:rRNA from 1 species